rnacentral:rRNA from 1 species
AAAAACAUAGCUUUAUAAAAAAAAAAUGAAUUUAAAGUGAAACCUGCCCAAUGAUAUAAGUUUAUAAUUUUAAAAUAAUUAAAAUAAUAUUAAAUGGAUGCGGUAACUCUGACUGUAAUAAAGUAGCAUAAUAAUUUGUCAUUUAAUUGGUGAAAGGAAUGAAUGGUUAAACGAAUAUUUCAUUGUCUUAAUUAAAAUUUUUUAAAAUUAAAAUAAUAGUGAUGAUGCUAUUAAUAAUUGUAAGACGAAAAGACCCUAUAGAGCUUUACUAUAAUUUUUAAAUAUUAAAUAAAUAAUUUUUGUUUUAUUUUAAAAAUUGGUAGUUUAAUUGGGGCAAUUAUCUUUUAUAAAAAAUAAAGAUAAACAAUAAUUAAUAAAUUUAAUUUACUGUAUAAUAAAUAGAUUUAACAGUUAUGAUUGUAGGUUAUAAUGAUCAAUUAAAAUUUAUAAAAUGUUUUAAUAAUUAAUAAAUAAAAGUUACCUUAGGGAUAACAGGAUAAUUUUGUUUUAGAGUUCUUAUCGAUAACAAAGUUUGUCACCUCUAUGUUGAAUUAAGAUAUCCUAAUAAUGCAAAAGUUAUUGAGGGUGGGUUUGUUCAACCUUUAAAAUCUUACAUGAUUUGAGUUCAUU